rnacentral:rRNA from 1 species
ACAGCAGCAGCCGCGGGAAUACAGAGGGUGCGAGCGUUAAUCGGAUUUACUGGGCGUAAAGCGUGCGUAGGCGGCUUCUUAAGUCGGAUGUGAAAUCCCUGAGCUUAACUUAGGAAUUGCAUUCGAUACUGGGAAGCUAGAGUAUGGGAGAGGAUGGUAGAAUUCCAGGUGUAGCGGUGAAAUGCGUAGAGAUCUGGAGGAAUACCGAUGGCGAAGGCAGCCAUCUGGCCUAAUACUGACGCUGAGGUACGAAAGCAUGGGGAGCAAACUGGAUUAGAUACCCGCGUAGUCCCUGUCUCUUAUAC